rnacentral:rRNA from 1 species
UACGUAGGGGGCAAGCGUUGUCCGGAUUUAUUGGGCGUAAAGAGCGUGUAGGCGGCCAGGUAGGUCUGCUGUGAAAACUCGAGGCUUAACCUCGAGAUGUCGGCGGAAACCAUCUGGCUAGAGUCCGGAAGAGGAGAGUGGAAUUCCUGGUGUAGCGGUGAAAUGCGCAGAUAUCAGGAAGAACACCCGUGGCGAAGGCGGCUCUCUGGGACGUGACUGACGCUGAGACGCGAAAGCGUGGGGAGCGAACAGG